GCUUGAUAUGGUAGAGGGGGACAAUCUUCCACUCAUAUGUUUAGGUGAUUGUGAAUGGUAAACAGGGCUCUCUAUCCCAACUGGAGAAACUGGGCAAGAUCUUGGAACAGGUACGUCGCUAAAUCCAGGAAAAAAAAUUGAACCUCUAGGCUCAUGAUGCACUGCAACUUCUUCUGUGCCCACACAUGGUGGAUCUUUUAAAUGUCCAAUGCCAAUGAAUCUUUCCAUUGGAGCAGUACUUUUGACAAAGGGAUG
rnacentral:misc_RNA from 1 species